rnacentral:rRNA from 1 species
ACGCUGGCGGCAGGCCUAACACAUGCAAGUCGAGCGGUAGAGAGAAGCUUGCUUCUCUUGAGAGCGGCGGACGGGUGAGUAAUGCCUAGGAAUCUGCCUGGUAGUGGGGGAUAACGUUCGGAAACGGACGCUAAUACCGCAUACGUCCUACGGGAGAAGGCAGGGGACCUUCGGGCCUUGCGCUAUCAGAUGAGCCUAGGUCGGAUUAGCUAGUUGGUGAGGUAAUGGCUCACCAAGGCGACGAUCCGUAACUGGUCUGAGAGGAUGAUCAGUCACACUGGAACUGAGACACGGUCCAGACUCCUACGGAAGGCAGCAGUGGGGAAUAUUGGACAAUGGGCGAAAGCCUGAUCCAGCCAUGCCGCGUGUGUGAAGAAGGUCUUCGGAUUGUAAAGCACUUUAAGUUGGGAGGAAGGGCAGUUACCUAAUACGUGAUUGUUUUGACGUUACCGACAGAAUAAGCACCGGCUAACUCUGUGCCAGCAGCCGCGGGUAAUACAGAGGGUGCAAGCGUUAAUCGGAAUUACUGGGCGUAAAGCGCGCGUAGGUGGUUUGUUAAGUUGGAUGUGAAAUCCCCGGGCUCAACCUGGGAACUGCAUUCAAAACUGACUGACUAGAGUAUGGUAGAGGGUGGUGGAAUUUCCUGUGUAGCGGUGAAAUGCGUAGAUAUAGGAAGGAACACCAGUGGCGAAGGCGACCACCUGGACUGAUACUGACACUGAGGUGCGAAAGCGUGGGGAGCAAAC